AGAGUUUGUAGUCCUGGCUCAGGAAUGAAACGCUGGCGGCAUGCUUAACACAUAGCAAGUCGAACGGGAAGGUAGGUGGUUUCCAGUGGCGAACGGGUGAGUAACGCAUAAGAACCUGCCCUUGGAGGGGGAACGAACAAGUAGAAACGGUUGCUAAUACCCCGUAGGCUGAGGAGCAAAAGGAGAAAUCCGCCCAAGAGGGGGCUCGUGUCUGAUUAGCUAGUUGGUGAGGUAAUAGCUUACCAAGGCGAUGAUCAGUAGCUGGUCCGAGAGGAUGAUCAGCCACACUAGGACUGAGACACGACCCACACUCCUACAGGAGGCAGCAGUGGUGCAUUUUCCGCAAUGGGCGAAAUCCUGACGGAGCAAUGCCGCGUGGAGGUGGAAGGCCUAUGGUUUGUCAACUUCUUUUCUUGGAGAAGAAACAAUGACGGUAUCUAAGGAAUAAGCAUCGGCUAACUCUGUG
rnacentral:rRNA from 1 species